rnacentral:misc_RNA from 1 species
GAAUACAAAAACAAAAUGACUAAAACUGCUCUCUGUAACAGCUAAUUCUGGUAUGCACUUCCCCAUGCAAUGUAGGCCAGAGGAAUAGGUCUUAUUUCACAAAUUCACCACCAAAUAACUUCCUUCUCAUGUCCUGAGAGUUGCAGCCUUCAUUGCAUAUCAGCUUCCAUCUCAACACUCCAAAUCAGCACAUUAAGAUCAUGUCAGCAACCAGGCUGCAGUUCCUGAGUCACCUGCAUUAGGUUUCUUCUUUGGUUAUUGAUUUAUUUUCUUUUCUGUUUUGAUGUGUACAGAC